rnacentral:tRNA from 1 species
GCGGUAGCUCAGGGGUGGAGCACUUCCCUUCCACGUGUGAGGCACUGGGUUCGAUCCCCAGCAUCACA